rnacentral:rRNA from 1 species
UACGUAGGGUGCAAGCGUUAAUCGGAAUUACUGGGCGUAAAGCGUGCGCAGGCGGUUGUGCAGGACAGAUGUGAAAUCCCCGGGCUCAACCUGGGAAUUGCAUUUGUGACUGCACGGCUAGAGUGUGUCAGAGGGGGGUAGAAUUCCACGUGUAGCAGUGAAAUGCGUAGAGAUGUGGAGGAAUACCGAUGGCGAAGGCAGCCCCCUGGGAUAACACUGACGCUCAUGCACGAAAGCGUGGGGAGCAAACAGG